rnacentral:lncRNA from 1 species
AAGGGUUGUGUAGUCAGGAUCGGUGUCUUCCGCGGCGUCCUCAUAGCGGUGAGGUUCUUCAUCUCCUGGGACAGCUCCCAGAAUUGCUUGCCUGAACCGCCGGCCUCAUCGUUGUGGGCCAUGUUCGCUCUAAAUAGGAAAAAAAUUGGUCAAAACGUUGGUUAUUGUCAAGGAACAAGAUCUCCAAGUUGACCAAAUGACCUAAUUCUCGAGGAAUUCGCUAUUAGUGUGUUGUUGCUAAGGUCCAAGUCCCUUCCUAACCCCCUUCUUCUUGUCUCCUCUCACUAUCUCUCUCACACACAUGGCAAGCAAGGGUGUCUGAGUGUGUGAAAAAAUACUAAACUAAUCCAAUGGCUGAAAAUUGAUCAUCUGUUUCAGAUUGCGGUUUUCUUUCUUGGGGCUUCGGUGUGCGGUACAAAACUGAAUUUCAGAAAUCUACAGAAUGAACAAGCUAAGGGUUAAGCUUUCAUCAUUUAGGUUUUUAUCGACACCGAGGCACCCUAAAAGCCAAGGUUUUAUCAUUUAGGGUUUGGAUCCAACACACUAUCCAUUGCUUACCACUUAAGUUGGAUCCUUCUUCUUCCUCUAUCCAUCCAAGACAGAUAGAUAGAUAGAUACUAAGUAGCUAGAGUCAAAAAUUGUUGGUGAAUUUCUGAAACUCCUUUCAGAAUCUUCAGCCAGAAAGAGUUAUCAUUUAGGGUUUGUCGAUGCCGAGGCACCCUUAAUGCUAAGUUAAGUUUUCAUCAUUUAGGGUUUAUCGAUGCCGAGGAACCCUAAGUUGACUGAUAUAUAUGGGUAUCUUCUAAUAAUAUACUCUACCAAGAAAAGGGAAGGAGAAUUCUAAGUUGGGCCUAAUCACUUGGCUCUAAACGACUCAUGGUUUCGUCUGUCCACACAUGAAUUCAGCAUAUGUGUUUAAUGCAGCAAGAAUAAAGGGGCAGUUGAUCCUACUUAAUUAAGUACUAAGAUACCCCGACCCAUGCAUUAGUCGCAAGUACCCCAUAUGUCCUAUUUUUAGCAAAGUCAUGCUAAAAUUCACGAAAAAUUUCAGCAUGACCUUUGCUGAAAAUAGGACAUAUGGAGUACCCGAAUUUGCCGGAACGGAAGUUAAUCGACAUUCCGGCAAACUCAAGGGCCUCUCGGGGUACCUACAAAAUCAUUAUCCAAUGAAGGAAUUGCACUGCACGCUACUGCCUCACACUGCUGCCAAAAUCAUUAUCGACAUGCUGGUACUGUGUUUCUCAAAAAAACAUCUUGCAAAGAGUUGCGGUGCACACUGCUGCCUAAAUAGUUUAAGCAAUGAUUUUCCAAUGAAGGAAUUACAGCAAAUGAUUUGUAAUACUUAAAUCUAGGCAAAGAAAAAAAAUCUGGAGGCCUCCUCUUUGCUAGCACAACUGAACUGGUAUUUCACUCUGCAUAGCUAAACAGUCUAACAACCAAAUGAUGCCUGAACGCGCGCUGCGGGUGUAUCAGUCUAAGAAUGAGACCAGUGCCUACUGCAUACCAAGUUAACUCAUGCUGACAGCAACAAACUUAUAACAACAUAAAUGAAAUUGCAGUUGUACGAAAUAGAAAGACCAUAGUGCUAGUCACUAGGCUAGAUAUGUUGGCCCGAACUACAAGCAGCUAGCUCUCACUUGUACUCUAACAGAAGCCUAGCUAGCCAGCGGCUGCACACAAGCUGCUCUCACUCUCACUCACGAACAGAUGAACUCUCACACACACGUACUAGAAGUGGAGCUCACGUACUACUUGUUGUGGAGCUGAAAGUGGCUACUUGCCUUGUAUUGAUCGGAAUGGAGUGGAAUGAUUUUACAACCGGGAGGCUGCAGCUCCUUUUAUAGCAGUCUGAACCGCCUAUACCAGCUGCUUGAUGCAUGCCUAUACGUCAUAUACUAAGCAACGUCACUGCUGACCGUUUACUGCUUCCUUAGCUACUAAGCUACGUAAUUCCUGCUGCUGCCGACAUGCAGCCAUAGCUAAUUAUUACUGCUGCUGCAUGCAAGUUGUGCCGCUACAUGCAUGCAUCUGAGACUAGCUACUAGGUACGUAAAUGCUGCUGCUCCGUUGUGUGCGCCGGAAGACCAAGGUUGACUCAACAUUCUCCCCCUCAACCUUGUCGAAGGAGCUUGAUGUCGAUGAUCCCGACCUUGUCGCGCAGCUCCUGGAACCGGACACGACCAAGUGACUUGGUCAGGAUGUCCGCCUUCUGUUCACCAGUCCUAAUGAACUUCACGAUCACCAAGCCUUUCUCGACGCAGUCACGUAUGAAGUGAUAGCGGAGAUCGAUGUGUUUGCUGCAGUCGUGAAGCACUGGAUUCUUGCAGAGGGAAAUCGCCGACUUGUUGUCGACGAAGAUGAGCGCAGGGGCGGUGUCCUGAUUCAGCAUCUCGCCGAGAAGGCGAGCAAGCCAAAUGCCUUGACAGGCCGCUGUAGCUACCGCGAUGUACUCCGCCUCGCACGAAGAUACAGCGACAACCUUCUGCCUCACCGAUUGCCAGCUGACGGGACUAUUCCCGAGAAGGAAUAGUAUGCCUGAGGUGCUUUUCCGGGAGUCCACGUCACCAGCGUGGUCAGAGUCGCUGUACCCGACCAAGAUCUCGCUGUCGCCACGAUGAUACACGCAUCCAUGCGUGAGCGUACCCGCGAUGUACCAAAGCAGGUGCUUGACGGCAGCUAGGUGAUCGCUUGCCGGAGCUUCCAUGAACCUACUCAAGUACCCGACAACGAACGUGAUGUCCGGUCGGGUGUGCACAAGGUACCUCAGGCUCCCGAUGAUGCUGCGGUAGAGUGUAGCAUCCACCGCCUUCUCGGAGCUAUCCUUGCUGAGCUUCAGUCGUGCCUCCAUUGGAGCGUGCACGGCAUGGCAGUCCUUCAUGCCUGCUUGCUCGAGCAUCUUGGUGGCGUAGGCCGUCUGCGUGAUCGUGAUGCGACCACCCUCCUGGUUCACCUCCAGCCCGAGGUAGUACCAGAGCAGCCCGAGGUCGCUCAUACUGAAGAGACGAUGCAUCUCUCCCUUGAAGCGUUGAACCUCUUCGGGCUCUGCCCCGGCGAUGACCAGGUCAUCGACGUAGAUGCCGACGAUGAGCAGCGUUUUCGCGGUGCCAGGCGAGUACACACCAUGCUCAGAAGCACUACGUGAGAACCCAAGAGAUGCGAGGCUUGCAUCGAGCUUGGCGUUCCACGCCCUUGGGGCUUGCCGGAGACCAUACAGGGCCUUGUGUAGUCGAUACACGCCCUGUUCAUGGCCCUUGGCAACGAACCCGGGUGGUUGGGAGACGUACACCUCCUCAUUAAGGUCGCCAUUGAGAAACGCCGACUUGACGUCCAUGUGGUGUACCUCCCACCCGCGGUGAGCGGCCGCGGCAAGGAUGAGCCGCACAGACUCCAGCCUUGCGACCGGAGCGAAAACUUCCUCGAAAUCCACUCCCUCACGCUGCACGUAGCCCUUUGCGACGAGGCGCGCCUUGUGUUUGACAAUGGCACCGUGCUCGUCCUUCUUCACCUUGAACACCCACUUGGGCCCGAUGGCUCGGUGCCCAGCAGGCAGUGUGGUGAGUGUCCAAGUGGCAUUGUCGUUGACCGACGCCAGCUCGUCCAGCAUCGCGUGGCGCCAGCAAUCCUCUUGCUCGGCCUCCACGAACGUGAUCGGCUCCUCGCCGGCCAUCAGAUGCAAGACAUCAUCGUCAUCAACGUCCUCUUCCUCAGCCUGUUGCAGUGUUGCCGUAGCCUCGCCGAGGAGAUCCCCCAUGCGCCGAAACCUGUGAGGAGCGCCAACGCUGUCGUCGGCGUCGAACAGCUCCGACCUCGCCGUUGGCGGGGUUGCGAACUGCCUCCCGGGACCCACCUUGCUUGACGUCAUUGUGUCCGGUGACACCGUACUCGAGGACGGUGUUCUCGGGGUUGCUGUUCCCGGAUCCACACCUCCCGAGCUUCCCGGGGUGGCACUUCUCGGGGUCUUGCUUCCCGGGGUUGUAGAGUACAUCGGGUACUCCACAGUGAAGGAGCUGCUUUCUGGAGCCUCCCCCGACGCCUCCCAAGUCCAUCACGCGUCUUCGUCAAAGAUGACGUUGCAAGAGACGUGUACGCGCUUUGAGACGGGGUCGUACAUCUUGUACGCCUUAGAGCCCGUCUCGUAGCCCAUGAACACCAUUGGGGUGCUCCUGUCGUCGAGCUUCUUCAACUGUGGGCGCGUCGUCUUGACGUGCCCGACGCAGCCAAAGGUACGAAGGAAGCGUACAUCGGGCUUCCUCCCAUACCAUGCCUCAUAAGGCGUCUUGCCGUCGACGCUCCUGGUGAAGGAGCGGUUGAGGAUGAAGACGGCCGUGAGCACGCCCCCCCCCCAAUACGUGCUCGGCACCUGCUUUGCCUUGAGCAUGCAGCGUGCCAUCCCGAGCACCGUCUGGUUCCUCCGCUCGACGACGCCGUUCUGCUGUGGCGAGUAAGGGGCUGUGAGGUGAUGUUGCACCCCUUUAUCAUCACAGUGCUUGUAGAACGUGGCCGACGUGAACUCGCCGCCACGGUACGUGCGCAGCACGCGCAACUUGUGGCCACACUCCACCUCUGCUGCCGCUUGCUGCUUGACGAUGGCUCGCUUCGCCUCAUCCUUGGAGGAAGGAGCAGCACCCACAUGAACCUACUUUAGUCGUCGACUAGCAGCAGGAUGUAGCGACGCCCUCCUGGCGUUGCCGGGGUGAUUGGACCGCAAAGGUCCCCAUGAACCAGCUCUAGGGGUUUCUGCGCCCGAUAGCGUGCCUUCUCGGGAAAGGGCAGGCGCCGCUGCUUCCCGGCAAGACAUGCAUCGCAUAGCUCGUCAGCGUGCUCGAUGUGAGGUAGCCCGUGAACGAGGUUGCCUCGCGCCAUCUUCCGCAACCCGUCGAAGUGCCGGUGUCCUAGCCUGGCAUGCCAACGCCACGCGUUGGAGACAUGACCCAUGGCAAGGCACACAGGAUGCACGGGUUGAAAGAAGAAUUUAUAGAUGCGGUUUGGCGAGCGGGUUACCUCGAUAAGCAGCCUCUUCUGCUGGUCGCGCACGGUGAGAACACCGCGCUGGAUGGCGAUGUCAAACCAGCCCUCGUCGAGCUGUCCGACACUCACGACGCUGCUCUGGAGCGCCGGGAUGAGGUAGACGUCCGUGAACGCCCUGUGAUCACCCCCUUUGUCGGCGAAGACAACGGUCCCGCGCCCAUGGAUCUCCACCACGGACCCGUCCGCGAACCGCACCUUCCCGGUGAUUGACCGGUCCAGCUCCGCGAACGCGUCGACCGAACCAGUCAUGUGGUUCGUGGCGCCGAUGUCGAGGAACCAACCCUCACUUUGCUUGCCGCCUGCAAGCGUGGGUGUGGUCACGGCUCUCUCCUCGUUGAGGAAAAUGUAGCCGCACACACACACCAUUGUCGCGGAGCCAUCUCCCAUCAUCACGGUGGACCCCGAACACUUCGGCGUUGGGGUGUGGAUGACCUGAGUCUCCGUGCGCUCCUGCACGGAGUCGAUGGUCGCCAGCAUCAUGGUUGGAGCAUCAUCCGCCAUAUGCGUCAUUGCCGCGCCAACUUGCGCGACCUUGUCGGGUCCCGAGGUCGUUGGGGACGCCGUCGCCGGGGUGUGGCUCCCCCACACCCGACCUUCAUCGCCUCCCAGUCGACAGGUCCCGAGAACGUAGUUGUCGAGGUGUGGCCUGUCACUUGAGUGAUGGUUCCUUUUGACGGGCUCCGUGCCUCCUGCACGGAAUGCGUGGUUGUCGGGGCCAUGGUCGCGGAGACGCUGAGCUCUCCUGCACGGGCUCGACUCUUGCCAGCAUCAUUGCCGGCCCGCCGUGCAUGUCAGCCUGGACGAGGUUUGCCGUUGCCGCGGCUGCCUCAUCGGCUUUCCUCUUGUGGCAAUCCUGGAUCCAGUGACCCGGCAUGUCGCAGUAGCGGCACUUGCCACCGUUGCCACCGCCUCGCCCUGCCCGGCUUGGCUUGCGACCGCGGUUGCCGCCAUCGCUCUGGGUGCGGCCUCCGCCUCUACCGCAACCUCUGCUUCCCGUGGGGGCGCCUCCCCCACUGCCAAAAGAGCCGUCGCGGCCGCGCUGUUGAAGCUGCACGUCCCACUGCUCCCUGGUGAGCAGUAGUUCGCCGCCAGCACGGUUGUCGGCUUCGUCGCCGCACUCCUCGACGACCUUCAGCCGCCCGACCAGCUCCUCGAUCGUCAUGGUGGAGAGAUCCACAAAGCUCUUGAUGGACCAGGCCAGUUGCUUGUACUGCCUGGGGACGACGCAGAGGAACUUCAGAAUCACCAUCUUGUUGUCGAUGUGAUCUCUGAGCGUUGCGAGCUCGUUGACGAGACCUUGCAGCCGCAAAGCGAAGUCGUCGACUUGUUCACCGGCCUUGAACCGGAUCUCCUCGUACUGGAGGCGCAAGGUCUAGGCCUUCGACUCCUGUACGCGCUCCACGCCGAUGCGCAGAGUCUUGAUGGUGUCCCAUGCUUCCUUGGCUGUCUCCUUGGCGCCAAGGGUGAGCACCAUCUCCUCUGGGACGGAGUGCAAGAUCGCCUCCAUCGCCAGCCGGUCCUCCUCGUACUCUACAUCGCCGGUUUCCACGGCUUUCCACAUAUGCCAUGCCUCCAUGAUGACUUUCAUCAGGACGGACCAACUGGGGUAGUUGGUCCGCGUGAGGAGAGGGAAGGAGGUACUGGAUAUGCCCACGUCUCGCACGGAGCGUGGCGCACCCAGCUCACCUCCCGUCCUGCCUCGCAGUGCGAGCGCGUCCGCCGCACGGGUGUCCUCAGCCGAGCUCUACUCGGCGGUCUUGGAACCCUCGUCGGCGACGCCUCCUUUCGGCAUAUGCUUCGGCAUAACCUGAGGCUCUGAUGCCAAUUGUUGGCCCGAACUACAAGCAGCUAGCUCUCACUUGUACUCUAACAGAGGAAGCCUAGCUAGCCAGCGGCUGCACACAAGCUGCUCUCACUCUCACUCACGAACAGAUGAACUCACACACACACACGUACUAGAAGUGGAGCUCACGUACUACUUGUUGUGGAGAUGAAAGUGGCUACUUGCCUUGCAUUGAUC